rnacentral:lncRNA from 1 species
GACAAUGCAGAAGAACCCAGAUUUCAAGAGAAACAGAGCUAGAUUCAGACAACACCUCCACCACCACUUACUGUCUGCAUCAGUCAGGGUUUUAUUCAACAUUUGAAUCAUGCUCAAACUUGCAGACUUGACUUAAAGCUUAGAUGCUUCAUCUCCAAAAGAAGCUGGCCAUGGAGUACAACAAGGAAUCUAGUAGCAGUCUGGAGUUUUCCUCUAGAAAGUGCUGUGGUCUCAAAAUGCAGUCCUGGGUAUCUGGACACAAUCCCACAAAGGGUGACUGCUAAAAAGAAAAGAUUUCAGGAUUGAGGAACAUAGCUCCUUCUUCUAAUGCACACUAUGUUGGGAUGGUGGGAUGAAGGCCGAAAUUUUCCAGGUUGGAGUCUUUUGGUGGUUUGUUUGCUUAUCCUGUAUCUGGAGUUGAGAAGAAACCAAGUUUGAGAUUUAGGAUGUGGACAGGAGGUAGGAGUUUUGCCCAUAAAUUACAACAGAGUCUGAACCCAUGGGGACUGCCAAGAAGACAAAGUGGUCACAAUUGGCUUGGGCCCGAAGCCAGGGCCCCUGCAGAGCAGGAGCCCAGUUGGGGCCUCCUCCCAGAGCCAGUGCAGCUCUGCCUGUGCGUGGAUGAUAAGCUCUGUGCUGCUUCCUCUGAAUCAUGAAAACAAACAGACCGGGCCACGAUGGAAUAAAUGAAGCUGCAGAUGAAAGACAUUUUGAAGACGAACAUGAAUUAGAGGGUUGGAGGGAUCUGAUUUUGACUUUCACAUUCAUCUGCCUUCUCCUUUCAGCAGUGGGGCCAAGGUGGCCGGCCAAGCCACUGGGACUUCUACAAGGGCCUCUGCAGGCAGGAGGCUAGUGAAGACUUAGAGCCUGUAGCGUGGACUCACGCUCAGGAGAGCCAUGAAGCCGGGGCCUCGUCUGCAGCUUUCUUCAUUCACGCUGAGAAAGUUUGUCCUUCCUGCCACCCGUAAUUUUCCUGGAGAACUGAAAAUAACAAAACCAGAGGGAUAUCCACAGAGUCCAUAGGUUCCUAGGUUAGUUCUACACGGUCCCCUUCUCCUCCCAGAAACACGAGAUGUCAGAUUCCUCAAGAUUCCUUUGAGCUCACCCUAAACUGCUCGGGGCAAGAACAUCAGUCUGUUUGUCUCUUGAGACCGUCUCUGGCAUGUUUAUGAAAAGAUCACUGGAGACUCCAGUUUCACAAUCAACAAUGUACCUAAAAAUAGAAAAAAAUCUGUUCCAGGAUAAUUUUGUCUCCGAACAGCAAGAUCAACAAAAGAUGCCUUCAGGGAACAAGUGGUCCUUCACUGAAGUCUAACGAAGCUCUGAGCUGCCUCUCAGAGCAAGGGGAGGGUGUGGCUCCCAAACGUCCUCUUCCUCUUCCCAUCAGCUCACACUGACUGGCAGUACGGAUGAAGCUGUGAACAGUAAAUGGUGACUGUGAACCAUUCUGACGCCGUCACCUGGGGCUAGGUGGCACUGUUUAAUGAACCAUCUCUGCGCAAGGCAAGGCCCAGGGUCUAAUUGGUUGGAAAGCUUUGUAGGAAACCCAGAAUGCUAGUUGCCAAGACUCUCUUCCCCUAAGUUUUAAAAUUCCUAGGUAAUUCCCUGGAAAUGUAAUCCGGAUGUUCCUGACUCCUGUAUAUUUAAACCCAUCCCACUGUUGUUUCCAAAAGACAUUUUAUGGAUAUUC